UACGAAGGUGGCAAGCGUUAUUCGAAAUCACUGGGCUUAAAGGGCGCGUAGGCGGAUAUGUAAGUGUCAGGUGAAAUCCCUCGGCUUAACCGAGGAAUUGCCUGACAAACUACAUAUCUUGAGUCAAGUAGGGGUGUGUGGAACUCUUGGUGGAGCGGUGGAAUGCGUAGAUAUCAAGAGGAACGCCGAAGGUGAAGACAGCACACUGGACUUGUACUGACGCUGAGGCGCGAAAGCGUGGGGAGCGAACAGGAUUAGAUACCCCCGUA
rnacentral:rRNA from 1 species